rnacentral:tRNA from 1 species
GGCGGCGUAGCCAAGAGGCUAAGGCAGAGGUCUGCAAAACCUUUAUUCAGCGGUUCGAAUCCGCUCGCCGCCUCAA